CUGCAAUGUUAUAUAAGCACUGAAUCCUCCCACAUUUUCAGCUCUUAUCUAAAAGCCAGAGUGUGUACCACCUGGGUGGAGAGGAAGAUGAAAUGAAAUUGGGGAAGUGGGGAAGUAAAUGGUGAAAAGCAUCCUGAAAGAAACCAACUAGAUAUGUUCAACAAUUCUACCACCUUUGUUGACCUCUUCUUCUUCCCCGACUUAUUGUUGUAGAGGCUACCUGAGCUCAUUGUCCCUGGAGAUGGACCAAAUAGAAGAACAAGCAGUGCCUGUGUGGUUUCAGUUCAUUCCCAAUGGUGCAGGUGGCUGUAGGAGGUCCAACUUGGCUGAAGAGGAGAAAGCCCAUUGGUAAGGUUCUCAUGUUCUUCUGUAGAUAGAGAUUAAGCCUUUUCCACAUCUAAAGGGCUUUGAAAUUGGCAGGAGGAUUGGAACCUCAAUCCUCAUUCCUGAGUAAUACUUCUAGGUUUCCAG
rnacentral:lncRNA from 10 species